rnacentral:rRNA from 1 species
GAUGAACGCUGGCGGCGUGCCUAAUACAUGCAAGUCGAGCGAACAGAUAAGGAGCUUGCUCCUUUGACGUUAGCGGCGGACGGGUGAGUAACACGUGGGUAACCUACCUAUAAGACUGGGAUAACUUCGGGAAACCGGAGCUAAUACCGGAUAACAUUUGGAACCGCAUGGUUCUAAAGUGAAAGAUGGUUUUGCUAUCACUUAUAGAUGGACCCGCGCCGUAUUAGCUAGUUGGUAAGGUAACGGCUUACCAAGGCGACGAUACGUAGCCGACCUGAGAGGGUGAUCGGCCACACUGGAACUGAGACACGGUCCAGACUCCUACGGGAGGCAGCAGUAGGGAAUCUUCCGCAAUGGGUGAAAGCCUGACGGAGCAACGCCGCGUGAGUGAUGAAGGGUUUCGGCUCGUAAAACUCUGUUAUUAGGGAAGAACAAAUGUGUAAGUAACUGUGCACAUCUUGACGGUACCUAAUCAGAAAGCCACGGCUAACUACGUGCCAGCAGCCGCGGUAAUACGUAGGUGGCAAGCGUUAUCCGGAAUUAUUGGGCGUAAAGCGCGCGUAGGCGGUUUCUUAAGUCUGAUGUGAAAGCCCACGGCUCAACCGUGGAGGGUCAUUGGAAACUGGGAAACUUGAGUGCAGAAGAGGAAAGUGGAAUUCCAUGUGUAGCGGUGAAAUGCGCAGAGAUAUGGAGGAACACCAGUGGCGAAGGCGACUUUCUGGUCUGUAACUGACGCUGAUGUGCGAAAGCGUGGGGAUCAAACAGGAUUAGAUACCCUGGUAGUCCACGCCGUAAACGAUGAGUGCUAAGUGUUAGGGGGUUUCCGCCCCUUAGUGCUGCAGCUAACGCAUUAAGCACUCCGCCUGGGGAGUACGACCGCAAGGUUGAAACUCAAAGGAAUUGACGGGGACCCGCACAAGCGGUGGAGCAUGUGGUUUAAUUCGAAGCAACGCGAAGAACCUUACCAAAUCUUGACAUCCUUUGAAAACUCUAGAGAUAGAGCCUUCCCCUUCGGGGGACAAAGUGACAGGUGGUGCAUGGUUGUCGUCAGCUCGUGUCGUGAGAUGUUGGGUUAAGUCCCGCAACGAGCGCAACCCUUAAGCUUAGUUGCCAUCAUUAAGUUGGGCACUCUAGGUUGACUGCCGGUGACAAACCGGAGGAAGGUGGGGAUGACGUCAAAUCAUCAUGCCCCUUAUGAUUUGGGCUACACACGUGCUACAAUGGACAAUACAAAGGGCAGCUAAACCGCGAGGUCAUGCAAAUCCCAUAAAGUUGUUCUCAGUUCGGAUUGUAGUCUGCAACUCGACUACAUGAAGCUGGAAUCGCUAGUAAUCGUAGAUCAGCAUGCUACGGUGAAUACGUUCCGGGGUCU